rnacentral:ncRNA from 2 species
ACCGCGAUCCGUCGCCGCGGAUCAGGGAAGCCGGUGCGAGUCCGGCGCGGUUCCGCCACUGUGACGCCUGCCUGCAGGCCAGCCAGACACCUUCCGCGGCGACUCCCACCGC